rnacentral:ncRNA from 53 species
UCCGUAGGUGAACCUGCGGAAGGAUCAU